UACAGAGGGUGCGAGCGUUAAUCGGAAUUACUGGGCGUAAAGCGUGCGUAGACGGUUCUGUAAGUCGGAUGUGAAAUCCCCGGGCUCAACCUGGGAAUUGCAUUCGAGACUGCGUGGCUAGGGUGCGGAAGAGGGAAGCGGAAUUUCCGGUGUAGCGGUGAAAUGCGUAGAUAUCGGAAGGAACACCAGUGGCGAAAGCGGCUUCCUGGUCCAGCACCGACGUCAGGCACGAAAGCGUGGG
rnacentral:rRNA from 1 species